UCGUAACAAGGUUUCCGUAGGUGAACCUGCGGAAGGAUCAUUACCGAGUGAGGGCCCUUUGGGUCCAACCUCCCACCCGUGUUUAUUUUACCUUGUUGCUUCGGCGGGCCCGCCUUUACUGGCCGCCGGGGGGCUCACGCCCCCGGGCCCGCGCCCGCCGAAGACACCUCCGAACUCUGUCUGAAGAUUGAAGUCUGAGUGAAAAUAUAAAUUAUUUAAAACUUUCAACAACGGAUCUCUUGGUUCCGGCAUCGAUGAAGAACGCAGCGAAAUGCGAUACGUAAUGUGAAUUGCAAAUUCAGUGAAUCAUCGAGUCUUUGAACGCACAUUGCGCCCCCUGGUAUUCCGGGGGGCAUGCCUGUCCGAGCGUCAUUGCUGCCCUCAAGCCCGGCUUGUGUGUUGGGCCCCGUCCUCCGAUUCCGGGGGACGGGCCCGAAAGGCAGCGGCGGCACCGCGUCCGGUCCUCGAGCGUAUGGGGCUUUGUCACCCGCUCUGUAGGCCCGGCCGGCGCUUGCCGAUCAACCCAAAUUUUUAUCCAGGUUGACCUCGGAUCAGGUAGGGAUACCCGCUGAACUUAAGCAUAUCAAUAA
rnacentral:misc_RNA from 1 species